rnacentral:sRNA from 1 species
GGAUGGGAAGGUGAUCUAGCUACGACAUCUGUCACCCCAUUAAUCACCAGGGUUGACUUGGAGCAUCUGGCUGGCUAGGCGGGUGUCCCCUUCCUCCAUCACUACUCCAUAUGCAUCCCUCCCAAAGCUGUGCAUUUGGUCGAAGAGGACGACCUUCCCCCAAAAGAGGACCAGUGUUAGGACAAGGGUUCAGGAAUAGCUGUGCUCCCUGCUGGAACAUCCAGAAAAGCUCUCAAAAAGAAANNNNN